GAAGAUGAACCUAGAUAAACAAAUAAAUAAAUAAGUGUACAAAUAAUAUAAAUAGGAUGAGUUAGAGUUUUUAGUGGGUAUUACUCCCUCCCUCGCUCAAUUCACACACCUCACUUCCCUCUCUUCUCUUGUCUCUCACAUCCCUCUCCCUCACGGUUCAGCAGCAGCCCCAGCACCACCAGCCACGCCUCCGCCAUAGCUGCCAGCAGCCACCAAUAGGCUGCGUUCGCCUCCUCACAGCAGCAUCCGUGGUUGCGUUCUCUCCCCCACCAACAGCAGCUGAGCUGCACCUUAAACAGUCACGUCGCAGCAUUGUGCGGCCAGCAACUGGCUGCUGGGCAGCCGUGUCUCUCCUCCACCACUACACUUACCACUCCUCUCUUCACCCCUUUUCUCUUGUUCACCUAAGUUUCCAGUUCACAAGAGUAAAAUAGAACCUUAGUUGGGUGAAUUUUGUAACUUUUGGUCGUGCAGUGAUGCUUACAGGUAAGAUCAACGACGAGAAAUGAUAUUGUAAAGAUUGACAGAUAGAAAGAGAUGAGGCACAAUUUUAUGGCUUAUAAGUGUGUGCAGAACCUUUUACAUGUAUGUAGUGCAAAGUAUGUCACCAGAAUUAGGAAUAAUGCUCCUCUGCAUAUGAAUGCAGCACUUCAUUAUUGCUCAGAGCCAUUGGGUGACCGAGGUGUUCAUUUAGGAUGGCACGAUGAGAUGUUACCGAGAUUGGUAGAAUUAACGAAUUUGCUGAGUAAUGUGGAUUUGGUUGAUGGAAGGCUAGUGGAUAUCAAUGACAAUUCAAUUGUCAGGGAUGAUAAUCUUCUUCAGAAGAUGCACCAUAUCAAAGCACUUGGAAGAGCUUUAAUUGGUCAUCCGUCGGUACAGGAAGAAAUGGCAAAGAAUGUGAGUGAUGCAAUGGCAGGAAGAAAAUGUAGUCCUCCUAUUUGCUUCACUAAACCAAUUGAGAGGGAAGCUAUGAGUGUUUGUAAUCUUACCAGAGUUUGCGAUUUUCUGAACGUUUCAGCACAGCAAAGGAAGACGGUUCGUUUUACCAUAUGCCCUCAAGUCACACAGCAUCGGAUAUUUACAGGUGCCCUUGAGGAAUUACUAAAGGGAUUGAAAACAGAGAUGAAGUUUUUCGACACUCGAACUCCUACCAAAGGAACACUUAUGGGCCAACAGAUUGUUUCAACUUGCUUAAAGUUCUUAUCUGAAACAGCUAGUCGUCAAGAUGACAAUGCUUCUUCAUGGAUGAGGCCGAAACCAUCUAAAGUAGGCAAUUCUUCUCCAUCACCCCGAAAAUGGGAAGAGGUCCUUGAAAUAUUCAAUGACCUCAUUUACUGUCUAAGAAAAGAAGAAGGGUUAUCAUACUAUGUAUCAAAACUUGAGGUGAUGAAAGAAGGGCUAACUCAGAUUAAGGAUGUGUUCAUCGAUAGGGAUAUCGGGUACAAGGAGGUACAACUACAUGAAAGUUUAGUUCAAAAGAAGCUAUUGAAGACUUUAGGUCAUUCAUCGCGAUGUUUGUUUACGCUUUUGAGAUAUUAUCUUCAUCAAAGUAUUCGAGACAUGGAAGUGGAAGUGUCUGGUGGGUUGUAUGAGAUUGGUGAGAAGGAUAAAUUAUGCUUGUGUAUGGGGAAAAUUUUGACGUCAGGGGAAGAAAAUAUGGUUUGGAACGGUGUAAAGCGAUUAGAUCGAGUUCUUGGGCUGUUCAAAUUUGUAUGGGAUAUUGCCGGGAUGGACAGACGCCUAGAAGUACAAGGGCAUUUGUGGUGUGUAGGAGCUGAAAGCAAGACGAUCAUCUAUGGAGGAAAUUCGUUCAUCAUCCAUGGUGUUCGUUUUUGAUUGAAGCUCGUAAUAAAUGGCUUCAUUUCGUGUGACUGUUGUAUGUUUUUGGAAUGGUUCAAUUCGAUCAAGUAGUAGCAAUGUUAAGUAUGUUGGGGGAAGACGUAAACUUUUUGCAUGCAAUUCAAACAUGGACUUGAAUGAAUUUAAACUUCUUAUAUGCUCUAAGAUUGGCAUUGACACUACAAGAAGUACUGUUAAUGUAAGUUUUAAAUACAAUAUGAGUGGAGAAUUGUUAGCUCUUCCGGUUGAAGAUGAGGAGGCUAUAGAUGCAAUGUGGGAGUAUUCAAAGUCUACCCCUAUUCUUUCUUUAGUGUUAUUUGUAGAAGAGGUACCUCUAGGGAAUCAAGAUGUCAAUGUUGUAGAAACAAAUGCAUUCCUGAAUGUAACUUCUUCUGCUCCUUCUCAUAUGCCCUUCUCUACCCAAGAAACCCAAAAUCCCAUUAUGUCAUCUUCCUCUUCUCCUUCUAAUGAGCCCAGUCAACUUCAAAUUCAAGCCUCAAAUGAUGAUACUUUUAACUUAGAAAAUACAAAUGAGCCUUGGGAUGAUGUUAAUAAUGAGAGUAAUGAAUUCGUUGAAGCUCCUUCUGAGGACAAUGUGAGUGUUGACGAGGAGGCUCUAGCUAAUAACAUGACCUUAGGCAACAUUCUAAUAAUCGUUGCUCCUACACCUUAUGCACUAGUUCCCCCUCUAGAUGAACACGUUGAGGACAACUCUUGGAGGUCUUGGGCAUGUGAGUACCGAACUGAGACUUCAAAUCCAUAUUCAUGUCGUUGAUUGAUAAGAGGUCAUGGCCUCAAUACACCGGUGUUGAGGUGAUACACGAUCCAGAUCACAUUCGUGGACUAGGGAGACCUAAGUUAAGGAGGAUCACCAACGAGAUGGACGAAGGAUCAAGGAGAUGCAACGCUUGUCGACGGUGUGGUAGUGAAGGUCACAACACUAGAACUUGCAUGUCAAGUAGAGAUUGAUCCAGCAGCUCCAGACCCUCACAACCCUAGUGUGCUGACGAUGCAGGCGGAUCACAAGAGCAGUGUACUAUGGGAUGUCCAGGUGUCUGACAUACAGACCAUAUACACCAGGCAUCCCGACUCUGCUCCGUGGGAGAUUGACUCACGGAUCAUCCCUUACAUUUAGCGAGCGAGAUUGUACGACUUCGACCUCAUCGCUUAUGGGAGAGUCAAUCGGGCACUAUUCACGGCUUUAGUCGAGCGGUGGCGCCAAGAGACACAUACCUUCCACCUACCUCUAGGUGAAGAACUAUCACUUUACUUGACGUAGCUGUGCUUACACAGCUUCCCAUCGAGGGACAUGCCGUCUGUACUGUUGGACGCCAACUCGAAAGUUGGCAAGAUAUAGUGCAUAAGGUAUUAGGAGUUCGACCUCUCCUAGAGGUAGCCAAAGGGAGUGGGUUGCGCAUAACAUGGCUUGCGCAGAACUUCUCGCACCUCCCUGAAGGUGCCGAUGAGGCGUAUCUCUUAUAUCUGGUUGGUGCUGUCUUGUUCUCCGAAAAGACUGGCAACAGGGUACAGCUUUUGUAUUUGACGUUGCUUGAUGCACCAUGGGAGGUCAUCUCCGGUUACAGCUGGGGUUCCGCAACCGUAGCUUAACUGUACAGGAGACUGUGUGACGCGUCACGGAAGAACGUGAAGGAGAUCGCUGGGCCCCUGAUUAUUCUCCAGCUUUGGGCGUGGGAGCACAUUCUCAUUGGGCAACCGAUGAGGACUGUGGGACAUGGUGCAUUUGCGCCACCAAUUCUUCCACCCCCACAUGUGCCGUAUGGAUCGCGGUGGUCUUUGAUAGACGUACAAGGACCCACAUAGGAUCUGGCGUGGGGUUCUACCGCGAUCAAUUCGAUCUACUUCGAGCUGACCAGUUUCGAUGGGACCCUUACCUCGCUGAGGCAUACGCUGCAUUGCCUCAACACUCAGGGAUAUUGUCAGGGGCGUAGAGAACCUCUGUACCUUUGAUAUGCUUCAACUGUACAUCUCUUUGAGUGUGUACUGCGCCAAUUUGGGAUGAUACAGGGCAUCCCGCCACCUUGUGACACAGUGACGGAUCUCUAUCACAGCUCACGUAAGGGUCGGGAGCCUAAGAACUGGUUGGAGAUCAACUGGCUCCAUAUGACUCGUUGGGAUCACAAGCUAGAGCUGCUGGCCCAAGGUGCGUCGGCUGUAGGCGCACCUACUUCUGCCGCGGUUCCUCUCCAUCAGUCGUCGAUGGAUAACACCACGAGGUAUCAUCGCGGGCGCCCAGUACGCUUCCGCAGCACCGACGAUGACAUAGUUUGCACAAGGCAUUGCAGUUGUCAUCAGCUCCACCCAGGAGGAGCCUGUACGGGAGAUUGCCCAAGGCAUACUCCUAGGAACACAGUUUCAGCACUUCAUUCCUGAAGUCGUUGUGCUUGACACCACUGUGGACGAGCAGGGGUCAUCUCCUCAUCAUGCCAACGUUCAUCUUGAGGAGGUAGACUUAACGUGUCUCGACUAUGGUGCCGUGUCCUCACAGAGUGCUGGAUCAUCCUAGUAUCAAUCACCUCUCCUACCCGAGCGUCAUGCGACGGCCUCUUACUGUCGUAGGAGGCGUCGUAAACCGUCACAGUUAGACAGGGUACAGGAGGAGGGUUAGCAUUAGUAUACUAUUUGUAUAUAUUGAACAUUAGUAACAUUUUGUAUAUAUUGAACAUUUUACAUAUUGAAUAUUUGUAACAUUUGGACUUUUGUGUAUAAUUUGUAAUAUAUAUAUAGAUGUAUAUAUUUUUAUCGUAUUAUCACAUGUUUCUUAUAAAUGGAAUGAUGUUAAUUACUCAGAGUUUUCGUCGAUGAAUCAUUCCGUCAAGAAUUAAGUAUGAAUUUAAUUAAAAUCAAACAAACAAGCAACAAGAUCACGACCAGGAUCGACGUCGCUUC